UGCAGCCGAGCGGUAUAGAGUAGCUUGCUACUCUAGAGAGCGGCGUACGGGUGCGGAACACGUGUGCAACCUGCCUUUAUCUGGGGGAUAGCCUUUCGAAAGGAAGAUUAAUACCCCAUAAUAUAUUAAAUGGCAUCAUUUGAUAUUGAAAACUCCGGUGGAUAGAGAUGGGCACGCGCAAGAUUAGUUAGUUGGUGAGGUAACGGCUCACCAAGACGAUGAUCUUUAGGGGGCCUGAGAGGGUGAUCCCCCACACUGGUACUGAGACACGGACCAGACUCCUACGGGAGGCAGCAGUGAGGAAUAUUGGACAAUGGGUUAGCGCCUGAUCCAGCCAUCCCGCGUGAAGGACGACGGCCCUAUGGGUUGUAAACUUCUUUUGUAUAGGGAUAAACCUACUCUCGUGAGAGUAGCUGAAGGGACUAUACGAAUA
rnacentral:rRNA from 1 species